AUGGCAGCUCCAGAGUCUGAAAUCCUCUCCUUAUCCACAGAAGAAAAGGCAGCAGCAGUACAAGUUUCCCUACAGUCUCUCCCCAUGUGCUGCCAGCAUGCCCUGGAGGAACCACCUUCUAGGGGAGAAUAGGUAGUUCAGCCUCCAUACCCAUUCAGUCAUCUAUCUUCC
rnacentral:sRNA from 1 species